UAGCAGAGGUCUCAAGCGUUGUUCGGAUUCAUUGGGCGUAAAGGGAGCGUAGGUGGCGGGGUUAGUCAGGUGUGGAAAUCUCGGGGCUCAACCCCGAAACUGCACUUGAUACUGCCUUGCUAGAGUACUGGAGAGGAUGGUGGAACUCUCGGUGUAGAGGUGAAAUUCGUAGAUAUUCGCAAGAACACCAGUGGCGAAGGCGGCUCACUGGCCCGAUACUGACGCUGAGGUGCGAAAGCGUGGGGAGCAAACAGG
rnacentral:rRNA from 1 species